GACGAACGCUGGCGGCGGGCUUAACACAUGCAAGUCGAACGGAAAGGCCCUGCUUGCGUGGGGUGCUCGAGUGGCGAAGGGGUGAGUAACACGGGAGUAACCUGCCCUGGACUUUGGGAUAACUUCAGGAAACUGGGGCUAAUACCGGAUAGGAGCUCCUGCUGCAUGGUGGGGGUUGGAAAGUUUCGGCGGAUGGGGCUGGACUCGCGGCUUAUCAGCUUGUUGGUGGGGUAGUGGCUUACCAAGGCUUUGACGGGUAGCCGGCCUGAGAGGGUGACCGGCCACAUUGGGACUGCGAUACGGCCCAGACUCCUACGGGAGGCAGCAGUGGGGAAUAUUGCACAAUGGGCGGAAGCCUGAUGCAGCAACGCCGCGUGCGGGAUGACGGCCUUCGGGUUGUAAACCGCUUUCGCCUGUGACGAAGCGUGAGUGACGGUAAUGGGUAAAGAAGCACCGGCUAACUACGUG
rnacentral:rRNA from 1 species